rnacentral:rRNA from 1 species
AUGGCUUGGUUGAGUUGGGAUAAAAUGAGACUCCCAAAGUCCAAAGGUGGUAUGGGUUUCCGUGACAUGCAUGCAUUUAAUCAAGCAUUGCUUGCAAAGCAGGCCUGGCGACUACUUAAUGUUCCAGACAGUUUGUGUGCUCGCUUAUUACGUGCGAAGUACUACCCCAAUGAGAACCUGUUGGAUGCAGUUUUUACUGCAAAUCCUUCAACUGUAUGGAAGGGUAUUGAACAUGGUCUAAAGCUGGUUAAAAAAGGGAUCAUUUGGCGGGUUGGAGAUGGUUCUUUGAUACGGACAUGGAGGGACCCUUGGAUUCCCCGUGGCCAUAAUUUCCGACCCGCUACACCUAAAAGGAAUUGUCGAUUCAAUCGGGUGUCUGAUUUUGUUGAUGAGAAUUGUGCAUGA